CAGUCGCCACGGGAAUACGAACCGUCCGAACGUUAUUCGGAAUUACUGGGCUUAAAGCGCGUGUAGGCGGAUCGGCACGUCCGACACUGAAAUCCCCCGGCUUAACCGGGGAACGGGUCCGGAUACGACCGGUCUGGAGGGAGGUAGGGGGGUCUGGAACUUCGGGUGGAGCGGUGAAAUGCGUUGAGAUCCGAAGGAACGCCCGUGGCGAAAGCGAGACCCUGGACCUUUUCUGACGCUGAGACGCGAAAGCCAGGGGAGCGAACGGGAUUAGAUACCCCCGUAGUCCCUGUCUCUUAUA
rnacentral:rRNA from 1 species